rnacentral:lncRNA from 1 species
UUGCUGCUUAAAAGACAAUACUAGGAUGAUAAGAUGUUGGGAAGAAAAAAAAAACCAGUUAUUCACAUAUACAGAACAUGACAAGAUGUAAGGAGCUGCCUACCUUAAAAACAAAAGAAGACCAUCAGGCAUAGGAAGGAAAGUUUAGUGGGAGGAGAUGUGGUGGGGAUGUAGGUGUUGAUGUGCAGGGCAGGUCAAUGAUGAAUAGGUGUAGUAUUUGUUGCACAUUGCUCCCUCCCUCCUGCUGGAAAAUCAUAGUUGCCUUCUGAUCUUGCAAGGCUAGUUUCUCUCAUUCUUUAGGCAACAACUUUCCAGGAGGCAAAACUCAACACUGCUUAUGAUAUGUGUUAGGCGAUGUACAAAUGUGGAGUGCUGGGCUAAGGAGCUGAAGCUGAAGCACCUGAGCCAAGGACAAAAGGGCCGAAUUGUUCCUCGGACAUCCACUGGAUGAAAAUGAAUUGAAAUUUAGUGGAAAAAGUGGGGACUCUACCGAACCUUAAAACAGACCCAGCUUUCCUCCUUCCUGUGGAUGCUCUCCACCUCUCACUGGAGCCUCCAUGUCAGCCACCUAUUCAUGGAGGCACUCUCCACCUGAGAACCCCCUGCUACACCUGCCUGGGAUUCAGAAGCAAGAAAUACACACUGGAAAAAAAAGAUGGCAUUGUCAAAAACUGGUGCUGCUCAAACUGGAUGGCUGCAUAAUAGAAAAAUGCAAAUAGAUUCAUGCUUAUCACUUGCGCAAGCUCAACUCCAAGUGGAUCAGAGAUCUCAAAACAAGAUAUGCUGAGCCUGAUAGAAGAAAAGUGGGGAAUAGUUUUGAAUCAUCGGCACAGAAUUACAUGUGUCUGUGUUGUCUCCCCAGAGGCAGAGACGGAGAUUGACUGAACCACCAUUCAGAUGGUGCUAUUAAAUUCCAGGAGGUACUUCUGGUGGUGAGUUCUCCAUCACCACUCAGCAUUCCUAGCCAUCAGUCACUGGUGAACGAGGAGAGAGAGGGUGGGGAGAGGGGACCUGACAUACCACAUUCUGUUCAGCUCAUGACUUAGAGCUGAACAGCAGCGUGUGCUGGUACAGGGGCAGAUGAUCUGAUUCUGGCACUGGGAAUCUGUGUUUUAGGCAUCACUUUUAUAAUUUAAGUAAAACUGAGGAUUCAAAAACCACUCUUGUAGAUUAUUUUUAUUCUCAGUGAUUCAAUUCUGUCCAUUCUGUUAAAUGUGGCAAAUGGAAGCUGGUUGGAUAAAUGCUG